rnacentral:lncRNA from 1 species
UUGGACUAUAGUUUAUUUUGAAUAAACACAAGUCCGAAUACUUUGCAAAAGGUUUCAAAUAAUUCAAGAAAUGUAAGUUGAUGAGUAAGACGUUUAAAGUAUUUACCUCCUUAGAUUUGAUCCAAGGAAAGGUAACACUUUAGAAUAGUUUCCUUGAAAGAUAUCAAGGAAAGAAGCAUCAUAAGAUAAUGGAUUUCUCCAUUAGGAGAAGAACGAACU